AUCCUUUUGUAGUUCAAAAGCGUGAGACUGGGUGUUUGUUCCCAUUGUUGUAUGACAUGUGCCUCCCUCAAACCUUGUUACAACCUCCGCAAGGCAGGAGGACG
ensembl:snoRNA